rnacentral:pre_miRNA from 10 species
UGUCUUAUCCGGAAGGGGAGAGUGGAUUUUUUUUUAGAUGCCUUAUCUAAAAAAAAAUCCCCUAUCCCCUUCCGGAUAAGACA